UACGGAGGAUGCAAGCGUUAUCCGGAAUGAUUGGGCGUAAAGCGUCCGCAGGUGGCGAUGUAAGUCUGCUGUUAAAGAGUCUAGCUCAACUAGAUAAGAGCAGUGGAAACUACGUGGCUAGAGUGCGUUCGGGGCAGAGGGAAUUCCUGGUGUAGCGGUGAAAUGCGUAGAGAUCAGGAAGAACACCGGUGGCGAAAGCGCUCUGCUAGGCCGCAACUGACACUGAGGGACGAAAGCUAGGGGAGCGAAUGGG
rnacentral:rRNA from 1 species